UCAUACGUAGGGUUCAAGCGUUAUCCGGAAUUACUGGGCGUAAAGAGUUGCGUAGGUGGCCCAGCAAGCAGAUAGUGAAAUCGCCCCGCUCAACGGGGUAUACAUUGUCUGAACUGCUGAGCUUGAGCAUGAGAGAGGUAGCUGGAAUUCCUAGUGUAGGAGUGAAAUCCGUAGAUAUUAGGAGGAACACCGAUGGCGUAGGCAGGCUACUGGCUCAUUGCUGACACUGAGGCACGAAAGCGUGGGGAGCGAACGGGAUUAGAUACCCCGGUAGUCCACGCCGUAAACUAUGGAUGCUAGCUGUUAUCAGUAUCGACCCUGGUAGUAGCGAAGCUAACGCGUUAAGCAUCCCGCCUGAGGAGUACGAGCGCAAGCUUA
rnacentral:rRNA from 1 species